CCCGGGAGCUACUAUCGCCCAAAGAUGUCACAGGUGGUCAUGAUUCUUUGAGGCAGCGGAAUUUCACCGAAGUGCAUCUUUAACACCUUCAGUUUCUUUUCUACUGCAAGCCUGGUACUACAGCUUGUGGCCCGUGUAGAAGAAUAGAGGGGUGAAACGAAGGCACAAGUGACUGUGGACUCAUGGCCCUCAGACAGCUAGAGCACCAGACCAGGCACAGACCAGAGCCAUUUAUGCUCCACUUCUAGAGGACAUGUUGCGGUUUGAAACUACCAAGACUCAUGGAAGCUGCUGACAGGAGGCUGUUGAAGCCGUGGUCGCAAGGCACCCAUGACAUUGAAGUCUUCCAAACAAGGCACUAUGAAGGCAUGGCUUGUAGCGGCACUGGAGCAAGCGACACGGUCCGGGUGAGCCGCAAGUGUAACUGUUACACUGUAAACAGGAAAUAUAGACAUGUGUCCGACAAAGCACAGACUCAUAAAACUUUCAUGUAGCAAUAAUAGUUUAAUUUAACUAAACAGUGCAUCAACAGAGCCUGACCCAAGAAUGGGGAAUUGGGGAACCGGCCAAUGUGUAGAGUCUAACAGAAACAAGGAAGGCGAUAAAAACAAAUGGGGCAACAUGUUAAGAUAGGACAAUAAUGUCGUGCCUAUUUUUUGUU